GUGGUUAUAGGGGUCGUAAGAGAUGCGCCUCUCCGCUUUAACCAGUCGGGGGCGACAAAACCCAAGAAUCAGACUCGAUAACAUCAGCCAUUGUUACCAUGAAUUUCCUGCGCUGGAUGUGCCUGGCGUGGCUAGGGAAGGAGGGAAGGAAGGGAGGGAGGGAUGGAGGAGGAGAGCGCAGGCACUGCGGGAAGAAUAGAGAAACCUGAACCCCAUUCGCACUGGGGAAAAGAGAGGGACACACGCCGUGUUAUUAUUAUAGAAGCGGCCAUUACAUUGAGCAGCACGGAUGGAAAAAAUAUAAUAUAGCGGGUACCGGCGCAUCGACAAAGGAAUACAAGAAGCACUGCCCGGAUACCGUUUCACUGAGGCCUCAUAUCUGCUUUCGGAAGAAGCCGAACGGACCGCCCACCGCACAGAGACACACACAUACUGGAGAAGCGCACACAUAUAAACCCAAUCACCGGCCCGCACGCGCUACAGUGGACUUUAAAUACGAUAACCGCUGGGAUUCUGAUCUACACCAAUGAAAGAUGGGUUUAUAUAGUAGCACAUCUAGAUUUAAUCCGAUUCAGAUGUUUAACCGUCAUAUAUGAUAAGGGAUAUUUACUCUAAACAUAGAUAUUUACGUAUUGUUAUUUAUCUAAUCUUUUUAUGACGGCACGUUUAUAGGAACCGCCGGUCCUAAGUCGCUUUAUAUGACUCGAUUUAUUUAAUUCAUCGCGUUUACGAUCAUCAAAUAUAAUAUAAUACGCUUUAGACGCAUAUUGAAGCUGGAAUAAGUCUUUAUCCACUGUGGAUAUUUAACGCAAACGGAACUUGACAGCUGUUGUCUGACGACCGGGAUCCACCGUCCUGGAUUACUCUAUCGGCGGGCCGCUGUAAGUCGGCCAGCGGGAGUGAGAGGCGCUAUGGCCGGCUACAUCCCGGGCUUACUGCCGGCGAAUCACUCCCAGGAGAAGGAGUUCGCACAGGCGUAUGAGGAUGUGCUGGAGAGAUAUAAAGGUAAGACAGAUCUCCUACAUGGCACAUGUGCAUUCACAUUUAAGCCCUGAAUGGUUUCUGUGGGGAAAGCAAUUUCACUUAAUUGUUGGUUGGUUUGUUUUCCUGUUGUUUGUACAUAUGUUUGACCAAUCCAUUAGAUCCACUUUGGUAACUCAC
rnacentral:lncRNA from 1 species